CUCGAAGAAUCCGGCAUGAUUGGAGCAAAUCGAAUAUAGAUUUCAUUUUUUGUCCUCCUAAAAGACCAAAAAUCUAUAAUCAGAUACCGAAAGGGAGAAGAAUUUAAAGCACACCACCACCGUUUAUUUAAUUGACUGCCUCACCCUUACAGAUAGAAAGAAACACAACCAUUUCCUUCCACGCUCACCAUAUAUAACAGGGCACGGACAAACCAAAACAACAGAACAGCACUCAUUAACUCACACUCACAAUCCAGAGAACGGGAAAGCCGCAGCAACAACAACCUUAAUUGUCUACAUAUGAACUAGACUAAAGGAAAAUGGAGGCCUGGAUCAUAUGAGUGCAAUCCAUGAAGUUCAUGACGCUCGAUUCUGCCCUAGUCCAGCGCUCCACAUCAAAUUGCGAAGAUCAGGAGAGUAGAACUAGGGCGAAGGUGACAACAGACAUGAGUAGCGUCGCCCGCAUCAUGAUCUUGCUGCCUGUGGUGGUAGAAUCCGGAGGAGCCACCAUUGAAACGUACAUCAGCAAGAGCCCCAGAACGAAGGUGAUGAGAUUUGCAAAGAGGUAGGCUUGGAAUGCCAGGUCCAGGCGGUGGUGGUAACCGGAUCCGGCAUGCGUGAGACCGGCAGCGGCGCUGAAGAGGGCGAAGUUAGCCAUUGGCUUGGCAAGAAGAAACUCUUCAAAUGAGAUGGUAGUCAUGGAUAUGGAGAUGCUGAGAUAGAAAACGAUUUCAAAGAGAGAAGAUGUUAGAGAAUGGAGUUCAGAAAAAC
rnacentral:lncRNA from 1 species